rnacentral:lncRNA from 1 species
AUUUUGUGAUCUUGCAUGCUUGAAUCAUUUCAAUAAGUAAAUAAGUAAAGAAAAUGAAUAUGAUGGCAUGAUAAAAAAUGACGCAAGAAACAAGAUAUUAUUUAACGAACAUGUGGAAUGAAUGCCAAAGUUUACAUGCAUGGUAUUUAAAUAAUUUUUUAGGCUUUUUAUCUCUAAGGAGUUUUAUUUCUCCUACAUCUGGUCUGAAAAGACAUGAGAGGACUGCUCCUUGUGGAUGACGACAUAGCCUCUGAUAAGAGUGAUGACGUGAUAUGAUUAUAGAGGUCACCUUUGGUGAUGUACGACUGUGACUAUAGCUUACAUGUAAGACUAUUGUGGUUGGCACGACCAUGGUCAUAGAACGUGUCAUGGUUUGGCGAGCUAUAAAUGUAUUGUGGUUUAACAACCCAUAAAUAUACUAAAAAU